AAAGUUGAAAAGCACUUUGAAAAGAGAGUGCAAGAGAACGUGAAAUCGAUAUAAUGGAAGCGAAUGAAGUCGACGUAUCUAGUGCGUAUUCAGUUGUUGGACGUUUGUUGAGUUGCGCAUGUUUGCCGCAAGGUUGAUGUGUGUGGCUUUUGCGGUCGUUCGGCGAUGCAUUUGCGUACAGAGUGCGGCAGGUCGGUUGAUGUUGUCGGUGAAAGCGGAAUAUAGAGGACGACUUUGGUCGAAACCUAUUUUCGUGGAUGCUGAUUAAUGUUGGCUGGUUAAAUGUGAGCGCUGGCCUUGUCGGUUGGAGUAGUUGGCUUGUGUGGGUCUAGUGUUGAGCGCAUGCGUUCGAUACUUUUUGCCUGCAUAAGUUGAUUGCUUUCAAUCACUGCGCUUCACUUGCCGUAUAGUCGGUCACUCAUUCGACCCGUCUUGAAACACGGACCAAGGAGUUUACGGUACACGCAAGGUAUUGAGUUGUUUAUACUCAAAGCCAUAAUGAAAGUGAAACUGCUAACAGUUUGAACACGAUCAAUGAUUGGAAUUGUCUGAUUGUUGCGUAGUGUUGCCCCAUUCCAGUAACUUGUUACGGUGUGGAGGUUGAGCGUGUGCGGUGAGACCCGAAAGAUGGUGAACUAUGCCUGAACAGGAUGAAGCCAGAGGAAACUCUGGUGGAAGUCCGAAGCGGUUCUGACGUGCAAAUCGAUCGUCUGAUUUUGGUAUAGGGGCGAAAGACUAAUCGAACCAUCUA
rnacentral:rRNA from 1 species